CAUUAAAAUGGUGAGGUUGCCGGAGACAGUUAUGAGACAGGUAUCUAUGGUACAGAUACGUCUUUUUCAUUAACUGUUUGAACUCAUUGUUCUAGUAGCAACGGCGUUAACAAGCCGGCUAAGUGACAGUUAGCAAAAGAGUUGUCUUU